rnacentral:rRNA from 1 species
GAGUUUGAUCUUGGCUCAGGAUGAACGCUGGCGGCGUGCUUAACACAUGCAAGUCGAACGGAGUUAUCAUUUCAGAAGCAAUUAGCUUGCUAAGAGUGGAAGAGAGGAUAACUUAGUGGCGGACGGGUGAGUAACGCGUGGGGAACCUGCCCUGCACCGGGGGGAUAACACCUGGAAACAGGUGCUAAUACCGCAUAAGCGCACGAGGCCGCAUGGCCAGGUGUGAAAAACUAGGUGGUGCAGGAUGGACCCGCGUCUGAUUAGCUGGUUGGUAGGGUAACGGGCCUACCCAAGGCGACGAUCAGUAGCCGGCCUGAGAGGGUGAACGGCCACAUUGGGACUGAGACACGGCCCAAACUCCUACGGGAGGCAGCAGUGGGGGAAUAUUGGACAAUGGGGGAAACCCUGAUCCAGCGACGCCGCGUGAGUGAAGAGUAUUUCGGUAUGUAAAGCUCUAUCAGCAGGGAAGAAAAUGACGGUACCUGACUAAGAAGCCCCGGCUAACUACGUGCCAGCCGCCGCCGUAAU